rnacentral:rRNA from 1 species
CAGUAGCCGCGGGAAAACGGGGAAUGCAAGCGCUAUUCGGAAUUAUUGGGCGUAAAGGGCCCGUAGGUGGUUUGACAAGUCUGCUGUUAAAGGGCAGGGCUUAACCCUGUCAGGGCGGCGGAAACUGUUAAACUUGAGUACGGUAGGGGCAGGGGGAAUUCCCGGUGUAGCGGUGAAAUGCAUAGAUAUCGGGAGGAACACCUAAAGCGAAGGCACCCUGCUAGGCCGAUACUGACACUCAGGGGCGAAAGCUAGGGGAGCGAACAGGAUUAGAUACCCCGGUAGUCCCUGUCUCUUAUAC